AGUGGCGGACGGGUGAGUAACGCGUGAGAAUCUGCCUGGGGGUCGGGGACAACCACUGGAAACGGUGGCUAAUACCGGAUAAGCCGAUUGGUGAAAGAUUUAUUGCCCGAAGAGGAGCUCGCGUCUGAUUAGCUAGUUGGUGAGGUAAGAGCUCACCAAGGCAGCGAUCAGUAGCUGGUCUGAGAGGACGAUCAGCCACACUGGGACUGAGACACGGCCCAGACUCCUACGGGAGGCAGCAGUGGGGAAUUUUCCGCAAUGGGCGAAAGCCUGACGGAGCAAGACCGCGUGAGGGAGGAAGGCUCUUGGGUUGUAAACCUCUUUUCUCAGGGAAGAAGCUCUGACGGUACCUGAGGAAUCAGCCUCGGCUAACUCCGUGCCAGCAGCCGCGGUAAUACGGAGGAGGCAAGCGUUAUCCGGAAUUAUUGGGCGUAAAGCGUCCGCAGGUGGCGAUUCAAGUCUGCUGUCAAAGCACGGGGCUUAACUCCGUAAAGGCAGUGGAAACUGAAUAGCUAGAGUGCCGUAGGGGUAGAGGGAAUUCCCGGUGUAGCGGUGAAAUGCGUAGAGAUCGGGAAGAACAUCGGUGGCGAAAGCGCUCUACUGGACGGCAACUGACACUCAGGGACGAAAGCUAGGGGAGCGAAUGGGAUUAGAUACCCC
rnacentral:rRNA from 1 species